CAGCAGCACGUGGGCAAGUGUGACGGGAAAUGAAAACAAAACUGAAAAAGCUGCGCCAAAAUGCCGAGCUAUCUGGGUCGUCUCCCGUGUUUGCUACUCUCCGUGCAGGGUACAUGGGCAGUUCUGAGGCUCACAGUGCCUUCAUCCCCAAUCCAGGCCAGGCCGGGCUCUGAUGUGCAAUUGCCUUGUUACAUCGCUGGGCCCAUAGUCAUUGACGACCUGGCUGUGAUAUGGAAGGUGGGCGAACGAACCGUUGCUAAAUACGAAUAUAGCUUUGAGGCCCAAAGGCCAGGGGCAUUGAUGACAGUUGGGCAGCUGCAAGCGGGCAACGCCACCCUCUUCCUCCCGAACGUACAGGACACAGAUGCUGGUGUUUACACUUGUUUCGUUAUCCUUAUGCCUGACAACGCAGACAAGACAGUGGAACUUAAAGUGGAAGCUCCUCCAAGCUUAACACUCAGUCCUACAAAACUCCUGUUAGCCAAGCCGGGUGCUGUGACAUGUAAAGUAUCAGAUUUUUACCCUGGCAACAUCACAGUGACAUGGUUUCGAGAUGGCAAGAUGGUGAAAGGCCCCGAAUCUCCCCAUGCCCUCUUCAGCCCUGGCAGCCUGUUCAGUGCAGAGAGUGUUCUGGAACUUACACCACAAAUCACUGAUGACGGUGCCAACAUCUCCUGCCGUGUCAGUCACAAAGCGAUCGAAGGCCUGCUUGAAGACAGCUUUGAGCUGCAGGUGCAAGGGCGCUCGGAGUUACUCCCCACUUGGGAUCGGGCUUGGCUGGGAGUUAUUGGAUUCUUUUUGGGCCUUUUCAUAGGAGCUGCUGUAGUAAAAAUCUACUACACAGUCAAGCAUAAAAGGCCUCCAGGAACAAAAUGUGAGGAACAUCCCCUUAACGAGGAUGGUGAGGAGAAGGCACAGAACAUGUCAAAGCCCAAGACGAAACAGACCGAUGGAACAGCAAGUGAGGAAUUUCCCCUUAAUGAGGGUAAUGAGGAGAAGGCACAAGACACGUCAAAGCCCAAGACGGAAGGGACAGAGGAUAGAGCAAGACAUUACCAAGACCGCUGUGAGGUUACUAAUGAAGAAUGGGGGCAGGAUAAGUCAAAGGACAAGCCAAACAAAUCUAACGACUCUUAUUCUCCAGGAACGAAAAGGGAGCAAGUCUCCGCUAAAAAGCAGUAUGAGGACCUGGCUAGGUCAAAGGCCGAGACAGAUCAUCCUUCUGUUUCAAAGCUAUAGUAGUUAGCUUUCAUAUUGCAUCAAAGCUCCGGAGAGCUUUGGCUGCCUCUCUUCCGCCUUGGAGGUAGAAAUCUGAGGCAUCCUAGGUUCCUCAGAUGCUCUGAAUGGGUUAGGGUUAGGGCUUAUCCUUUUUACCUUUUUAUAAUUUUAACUCUUGUUGUUCACCACUCUAGGAUCUGUUUAAAUGUGGAGUGGUAUGUAAAUGUUAUAAAUAAAUUAAAAACUAUCAACGUUUUUAUUACUUUAAAUUUUCAAACAUUACAUCAAAUAACAAGUCCUAAUUAUCAAAUAACUUUGAUACAGGACAUUAUUACAAAUGACUAUCUUAUACAAGUUUCUUUUCUGUUCAUUUCGGUACAUUAAAAUAAAUAAAUCACGCUGCUUUGCCGUGGCUAUCUGCAUUCGCUUUCUUUCAUGGAUGUCAUUGACGGCAUUUACACGGCCGGCUGCCUGGUUUGAAAUUGAGCACAUGGAGCAGGAAGACUUCAAUUGACUUUACUGAGACGCUGGGAGACGGUGCAAUUUCCCAGAUAUUCCCGUAUUGUCUCUGGGUUUUUUAAAUCUGCAAAAACCCCGGAUAUUUUGUAUACUUCUUAAUGUAUUACUUCUUAAUUUUGUAUUACUUCUUAAUUUCCCAGAUAUUCCCAUAUUGUCUCUGGGCUUUUUAAACCUGCAAACCCCCCGGAUAUUUUGUAUACUUCUUAAUGUAUUACUUCUUAAUUUUGUAUUACUUCUUAAUUUCCCAGAUAUUCCCAUAUUGUCUCUGGGUUUUUUAAACCUGCAAACCCCCCGGAUAUUUUGUAUACUUCUUAAUGUUUACUAUUUUUAAUUGUUGUAAACCACCCAGAGAGCUUCAGCUAUGGGGCGGUAUAUAAAUGUAAUAAAUAAAUAAAUUAUUCCAGUGGGGAUCCUGGGGUCCCCAUCCGGGGUCCUGGAUGCUGACAACGUUGUGAAAUGAACCCACAAACUUCUGCUAGUGGCCAAUUGUGAGUGUAGUAUAAAUUGCUCGUUUAAGCUCUUCAACUGUUUCUCAUCAUCUCUCCAUGCAGUUCAGGGAUCUGUCCACAAACUUGCAAAUGACCCUGGUGGUCUUUUUCCAUCGCUACCAUUCGUAUGAGGAAUGAAGGCUUGCCGAGUAAUGAAGAGUAUUAUUGAUUUUUAUUGCUGAGAACUUUUGUACAGGCUGUUCUAUUUCUAUUUGCUGUUUUAUUUAGUGUUUUAUUUGUGUAUGCUGGAAGGUGCUUACAUUUUUUUCUGUAUUCCUACCAUUUGGCUCUGUUUUAUAUUUGAUGCUGUAUAUUAAAUAUUAGCACACCAUUCUGAAAAUUUUGCAUAACUUUUAAGAGGGGAUAUACAGUAAACGGAGUUAGAGUGAGCCUUGGUCACAUACUUCUCCUGUAAAUGCAGUUCAUUUAGCUGUGGAUCAAGCAGUAAUCCGCUUCCUAAGUGGGGCACCCAUAUUUCCUAGUGGGCCUUCAAAGAAAAAGCUAAAAAACAACCAUUUCCUUACAACCAACAAAAAUGUCUAGAACUCUCUCACCGAUCUGCAGAUUUUGCUAGAUGAACUUUCCCUUUGUGUGUUAAGGGAAAGAUGGGUCAAAAGCACAAUUACAGUGAUCUCAUGAGAACAUCAGGUGUCUUACCUAUGUAGCCUGCUACUGUAUCUGGAGGCUCUUAACGAGCUGACAUUCCAGUCUCGCCAUCCAAUUAGUAAGUGCACCUGGGUGAAGGGGAUGCCAAAGAAAUGCCAAGUAAGGCCUUGUUUAUCACAACAAUGUAGACUAAUGCUAUAGAUUCUUAUGAUGAGAAGAUCUGCUUUGUUGUUCAGCUUAUGCAAUUAAUCACUUGCUUAACUUGGCAGCAAUGCCAAGUUCAGUUAUGCUAUAAUUGUUCUUGUGCCCAAGGGGUGGGGGUGGGGGUGGGGGGUCCAGAUUUUGCCAAAGGGUCUUUUGUACAGGAAGCUUUUGCAGUCUAGUCCACUUUUUUUGGAAUAUGCCUAAAGGUGCUGAAAUAUGCCAAUAAAUUAGCCUCCUUGUAAGCAAA